UGGGGAAUAUUGCGCAAUGGCCGAAAGGCUGACGCAGCGACGCCGCGUGGGGGAUGAAGCAUUUCGGUGUGUAAACCCCUGUUGCCCGGGACGAACAAGCAGAUUUUUCUGCUCUGACGGUACCGGGUGAGGAAGCACCGGCUAACUACGUGCCAGCAGCCGCGGUAAUACGUAGGCAGCAAGCGUUGUUCGGAGUUACUGGGCGUAAAGAGUGCGUAGGCGGUUUUCUAAGUUCGGUGUGAAAUCUCCCGGCUUAACUGGGGGGGUGAGCCGAAGACUGGGAAGCUGGAGUGUGGGAAAGGCAGGCGGAAUUCCUGGUGUAGCAGUGAAAUGCGUAGAGAUGUGGAGGAACACCGAUGGCGAAGGCAGCCCCCUGGGCCUGUACUGACGCUCAUGCACGAAAGCGUGGGGAGCAAACA
rnacentral:rRNA from 1 species